rnacentral:rRNA from 1 species
GGAUGAACGCUGGCGGCGUGCCUAAUACAUGCAAGUCGAGCGAACGGAUGAGAAGCUUGCUUCUCUGAUGUUAGCGGCGGACGGGUGAGUAACACGUGGAUAACCUACCUAUAAGACUGGGAUAACUUCGGGAAACCGGAGCUAAUACCGGAUAAUAUUUUGAACCGCAUGGUUCAAAAGUGAAAGACGGUCUUGCUGUCACUUAUAGAUGGAUCCGCGCUGCAUUAGCUAGUUGGUAAGGUAACGGCUUACCAAGGCAACGAUGCAUAGCCGACCUGAGAGGGUGAUCGGCCACACUGGAACUGAGACACGGUCCAGACUCCUACGGGAGGCAGCAGUAGGGAAUCUUCCGCAAUGGGCGAAGGCCUGACGGAGCAACGCCGCGUGAGUGAUGAAGGUCUUCGGAUCGUAAAACUCUGUUAUUAGGGAAGAACAUAUGUGUAAGUAACUGUGCACAUCUUGACGGUACCUAAUCAGAAAGCCACGGCUAACUACGUG